CCUACGGGAGGCAGCAGUGGGGAAUUUUGGACAAUGGGCGCAAGCCUGAUCCAGCAAUGCCGCGUGAGUGAAGAAGGCCUUCGGGUUGUAAAGCUCUUUUGUCAGGGAAGAAACGGUGAAGGCUAAUAUCCUUUGCUAAUGACGGUACCUGAAGAAUAAGCACCGGCUAACUACGUGCCAGCAGCCGCGGUAAUACGUAGGGUGCAAGCGUUAAUCGGAAUUACUGGGCGUAAAGCGUGCGCAGGCGGUUUUUGUAAGUUUGUCGUGAAAUCCCCGGGCUCAACCUGGGAAUGGCGAUGAAGACUGCAAGGCUAGAAUCUGGCAGAGGGGGGUAGAAUUCCACGUGUAGCAGUGAAAUGCGUAGAGAUGUGGAGGAACACCGAUGGCGAAGGCAGCCCCCUGGGUCAAGAUUGACGCUCAUGCACGAAAGCGUGGGGAGCAAACAGGAUUAGAUACCCUGGUAGUCCACGCCCUAAACGAUGUCUACUAGUUGUCGGGUUUUAAUUAACUUGGUAACGCAGCUAACGCGUGAAGUAGACCGCCUGGGGAGUACGGUCGCAAGAUUAAAACGUCAAAGAGUAAGUAGACGUGUAGAGACGUCGACGAGACACGACGGAGGGAGAGG
rnacentral:rRNA from 1 species